UGGAUCACGUUAUUAUAAGCUGCCAAAUGCUCUGUGGCGUCGGCCCGACUCAAAGAUGAGGGAGGAUCAGAGGAAGCGGAGCCCCCACGACAUCGACGAGCGCGAGUUCCGACGCCUUCUCGACCUCCUUCCCGUCGUCCUGAUCUCGAAACCACCGCGUCCAGGAGACUGAGAGGUGGGUUUGGCUUCGCUAACUCGAGUCCUGUUCAACACAAUGCAAGCUUCGGAGGAGAGACACAGAAAGGAGCAGAUGGAGCUGUUGAUGAUGAGAAGAGGAUGGUGUACACAGGACCCAAUCCUCUGCACAACAAAUAGAAAAAUGGUAAAUGUUUGAGAUCACAGUUAGAUUAUUGGCAGCCAAGUGAGCGUUAUUACUGCUGACCGAAAUGGUUAAAGUUGAUGGAGAUCGUCUCAGUCACACACAUGAUGAGAUUCAACCAUAUGAUCGGUAGAGUUGAUCUCAACCUGUCCCCCUUGCCGUGGUUAUUGUCCUUUUUAUAUCUGCGCCGGUUCUCUUCUCUAUUACCCUGAUAGAAGACAUGAAAUCUGCCUGCCCCCGAGAAGCGAUCUUAAAUCGGGAAGAAGCUUUGGGCAUUAGUUUCGGAAAACAUUGUUCUGUGACAAACGUAAUUUGCACAAGAGACAGGUAGAAGAGCCCACAGGUACUCGUGACCAGUCGGUACGUGAUUACAUGCUCAAGCAGACGAUGGAUGGCAGAGAAAGGGCAUCCAAAAGGCUGCUUUACGGUUCCAUCCUGUAAGGUCAGGGUGAUGCUUCCAACACAGUAGAUGAGACAGUUUUGAAAAGGAGGGAGGCAAUUAAAAGACUGUCUUUGGCGAUGCAUGGCUGAGGGUGGAGACAUGUAGAUGAGGCAGGGAGUGAGUACCCUUGGUAGGAUGUACAACCUACUAAGAGCACAAUAAAUGCGCUCAGCGGAGGCUACCGAGAAGCGAGAGCAGCUCCGGACACAGAAAACAAUCCCCAAGAAAAUCUAUACUUGUUAACAGAUCUGACAAGUCUCGUCAUAGUGAAUACUUCAAAAGUCUGCGUUUCUUGUAACAUUUUCUGCUCUACAUUUAUUGCUCUCUCUGUCUCUGUACGUCUCUGUGUCUCUACAGAUAUCUCCUCCUUUGGAGACAAAACACCGGAGAUUAGAACAUA